rnacentral:lncRNA from 1 species
AUGGGGAGGAAAAAAAAAUAUAUAUAUAUAAAAAAAUCCCACCCUCCACUGGUUUUAUUCUGUGGGAGAGAAAAGAGGAUUUGGCUUCCUUGUGGCCCUGCCCGGCAGAGCGGAAAGGGAGAGACGGGAGGGAGGACGGGGCCGCGGGUGGCUGCUGCAGCCGGGGCCAUCGCUGUCCCCAUCCCUGUCCCCAUUGCUUUGUCCCCGUCCCUGUCCCCAUCGCCCUGUCCCCAUCCCCGGGACACGCUGCUGGCUGCAUCCACGCUGCUGCCCGCGUCCUCUCUGCCCCCACGCUGUCACCACGCUGUCACCGCCCCGGUGCCGGCGCCCCGAGCCACUUGUCACCCAGCACGAGGCAAUGGGAUGGAAAAAAGCGCAAGCAUUGCGGCUGGCCCCAAAAAUCCCCCGGACGGUGCCACGCAUGGACCUCGGGCACUGCCAGAGUGGGGAAACCGAGGCACGGGACUGCCGGCGGUGUCACCGUGUCCCCAAAAUUGGGAGAUGGAGGGGGGGACAUGCGCAGCCCGCGGGUGCCAUCGUGCCCGUGCAGCGGGCGGGUGCCGCGGCUGGCGGGGGACGCGGCGGAGCGGAGACGUGAUCGAGCCUGGCACUUCGCCGUCCUCCCGCCCCAUCUGCCGAGGAGCAGCAGCUAUUUUAGGCUCCGGCAAUUUGGGGCUUUCUGCUCAAGCCGGCCGCGGCUCGGGGCAGGGACAUGGGUGGCUGGUGGUGGCCUCAAGGACGGAGCCCCACGCGUGUCCCCAACCCAGGGUGGCAGCCACAGACCCAAACCCACCCCAGGACCACGGGGAGCAGGGAUGGGAGCUGGGACGAGGCUUGGGGCAGAGGGGACCCUGUGGCUUGGGAUGCCCCCACCCUGCUCCAGCAGCGUCCCCGUGUCCCCGUGCCACACGGGCGGGUGACAGCAGCGGGGACGGGGACCCGGGUGGCAGCCCAGCCCGGCAGCACGCUCGCCCACAGCUCGCAGCCAGCAAAUUGAUAUUUGCUAGAGAGGGUCCCCGUUGCCAUCAACAAUUUAUGAGGCUGCUUCGCUGCGAUUACCCCAGCAAGACGGCGCUGCCCGGGAACAGCGCGAGCCGCGCGCUCGGAAAGCGUCUUGGCAGGAGGAGCCGCUUCCGCUCCUUGUUUGAAGUCACUCAAUGCCCUCUUCUAUUUUCUUCUCCUUUCCCCUUCGCUUUUUUAACGCUAACGUGGCCGGAGGGGUGGGCAACAGGACGGGAACGCUGA